CUUCCGUUGAUUGACGUGCUUGCACUGAUUUCAACAUUGAAGCGAGUGGCGAACUGGUGAGUAACACGUGGGAAAUCUGCCCAGAAGCAGGGGAUAACACUUGGAAACAGGUGCUAAUACCGUAUAACAACAAGAACCGCAUGGUUCUUGUUUGAAAGGUGGCUUCGGCUAUCACUUCUGGAUGAUCCCGCGGCGUAUUAGUUAGUUGGUGGGGUAAUGGCUCACCAAGACGAUGAUACGUAGCCGACCUGAGAGGGUAAUCGGCCACAUUGGGACUGAGACACGGCCCAAACUCCUACGGGAGGCAGCAGUAGGGAAUCUUCCACAAUGGACGAAAGUCUGAUGGAGCAAUGCCGCGUGAGUGAAGAAGGGUUUC
rnacentral:rRNA from 2 species